UACAGAGGGGGCAAGCGUUGUUCGGAAUUACUGGGCGUAAAGGGCGCGUAGGCGGCCUUCUAAGUCGGACGUGAAAUCCCCGGGCUCAACCCGGGAACUGCGUCCGAUACUGGGAGGCUUGAAUCCGGGAGAGGGAUGUGGAAUUCCAGGUGUAGCGGUGAAAUGCGUAGAUAUCUGGAGGAACACCGGUGGCGAAGGCGGCCUGCUGGGCAGUGGCUGACGCUGAGGCGCGACAGCGUGGGGAGCAAACAGG
rnacentral:rRNA from 1 species